rnacentral:rRNA from 1 species
GUGGGGAAUAUUGGACAAUGGGCGCAAGCCUGAUCCAGCAAUGCCGCGUGGGUGAAGAAGGUCUUCGGAUCGUAAAGCCCUUUCGACAGGGACGAUGAUGACGGUACCUGUAGAAGAAGCCCCGGCUAACUUCGUGCCAGCAGCCGCGGUAAUACGAAGGGGGCUAGCGUUACUCGGAAUUACUGGGCGUAAAGGGCGCGUAGGCGGCUCUGUUAGUCAGGCGUGAAAUUCCUGGGCUUAACCUGGGGACUGCGCUUGAUACUGCAGGGCUUGAGGCCGAGAGAGGGUGGUGGAAUUCCCAGUGUAGAGGUGAAAUUCGUAGAUAUUGGGAAGAACACCGGUGGCGAAGGCGACCACCUGGCUCGGUUCUGACGCUGAGGCGCGACAGCGUGGGGAGCAAACAGGAUUAGAAACCCUGGUAGUUCC